rnacentral:rRNA from 1 species
GACGGAGGGCGCUAGCGUUGUUCGGAAUUACUGGGCGUAAAGCGCGCGUAGGCGGCUUUGCAAGUCGGGUGUGAAAUCCCCAGGCUUAACCUGGGAACUGCAUUCGAGACUGCAUUGCUAGAGUAUGGGAGAGGGAAGUGGAAUUUCCGGUGUAGUGGUGAAAUGCGUAGAUAUCGGGAGGAACACCAGUGACGAAGGCGACUACCUGGCCUGUUCUUGACGCUGAGGCGCGAAAGCUAGGGGAGCAAACGGG